UCUGAAAAGCAGAGAACAUUCCAGACAGCUGUGAUACUAAGUGCUACCCACGGGAUACAGUUUCCUUCCAAUAGCUAGCUGUUUACUAAGCCAGGUAAUGUUCUAAAUAACAUGCAAGUUCAUUUAAUCCUCACGUCUUUGAGGUAUAUAUUACUAUUAGAUCCAAUUUAAAGGUAAGAAAAACAAGGCACAAAUGUCAUUGCCUGUGGUUACAUAAUUAAGUGGUAGGAUUAAGAUUUGAAACUCAGGAGGGAAUUCCUUGGCAGUCCAGUGGUUAGGACUCUGAGCUUUCACUGCCUAUGGCCCAGGUUCAAUACCUGGUUGGGGAGUAAGAAUUCCACAGGCUGUGUGGUACAGCAAAAAACAAAACCUGAACCCAGGAAAUUUGGUUCCAGAGACAAUUUUGCCAAAAUGUCCCUCAAGUGAAAUACUUCUGUUAUAUCACCUUUGUUUUUAGAAUCUGAUCCUACCUUUUCAUUCUUAUUGCUGCCACCUUUGUUCAGCCCCUUAUUACCUAACACCUGGUACUUCAUUAGCUUCCUGAUUGCUCUCCUUGUUUCCCUUCCCAAACUUUUACACAAGUCCACUGGGUUUAAUCUUUGUGUUCAAAAACAACUCUGAUUACACUAUUCUCCAAUACCCCUAUUGAGUCCCCACUGCCAAGGGGAUCAGGGCAGCAGCACAUUUAAAGUUCCUCAGCCUGGCAGGGAAAGCUGUCCACAAUAUGGGCUCUGCCUACUGGAGAAGCUGUAUCUCCCACUUGCUCAGGAAAGCUCUGCUUUGGCAAAACUGGUCACCUCAUGGACCCAAACCUGCCUUUGUCCCUUCCUACAUCUGCCAGAAAUGCUCUCCACUGCCCAAACAGACUUCCUGAAAGGACCUAUCAACAUUUUGCUCUUUGAGGCCGUUCAUUUCUCCCUAAAAUUGUAGAUCUCACUGACUGCUCUCCCCCACUCCUACUCAACCUCCUACUUUUGGAACUCAUACUCGACUAUUCAUGUCUUUAGACAAUGGUAAAUAGGUCUCAUGGUAUUGUCACUCUGCCUGUGCAUCAUGUCUCAUCCCAACCAGAUAAAUUCCUGGAGAGGAGGGACCAAGUCUUAGUUUUCUCCAAGGCCAUACUUGGAUAUGAGGUUUCAACAGUCUACUCUGAUACAUUCAGGAGAACUCUAAACACAAGUGAUUUUUAACCUUUGGAAUACAUCAAAUUUACUGGGGACUUUUUCUCCAAAAUUCAUAUGCCGUGUACCCAGACUUGGUGAUUACAUCUGAGGUAAGAUGCAAGCAUCUUUAUUUUCAAAUCUCCCCCCAAAUAAUUCUGAUACAUGUAUCAGAGAUUAGGAACUACUGCUACCUACCUCAAAAGGACCUGCCUACCUCAAAAGGCAAAUACUGUAAAUCCCCAUUCUCUCCUAAGGUGCAUGGAAAGUCUGAUGACUGAAAAGUGCCAGCUCUGCGACAUACUCAACCUCUUCAUUUGUAAAAUGUGGAUAAUAUCACCUUCACAGGUUUGUUGUAAAGAUCGAACUGGAGACUGUAAAUGUAAAUUCAAGCACUUUAUAAACUGUAAAAUAUAAAAUGUAACUUUACUGUUAAUGAUAAUUACCCUACAUGGGAAAUGGACUUAAUGGAGGCAAAGCCUGUUAAGCAGGGUGCUUAUUCAGCCUGAAGCAGAGGUAGUAGGGGCCUGAGGUUCCUCAAAUCUAAAAAUAAGACACUUCUUUUGGCUUCUACCCUACCUCCGUGCAUUCCUCCUACCAGACUGACCCUCAAAAGAGGUUCUUGUCAGGAGCUAGGCUCCUAUUCUCGGGCAAAAGUGUCAUUCCCUUGGCUUGAGCUGUUUCCUGAGAACGCUGUAAUAAUCAUGAAUGACUUCAUGUUUGAGCUAACUGGAUGGCACCAAUAAGAAAGACCCCUCCAGCAGCAGUGUGGGGGCAUGAGGGAAGCAGGAAAAAAUACCUGGUAACCAAAUCUCUACUUAGCCUUAAUAGAAGUAAAGAAGGUAUUCCUGAAUCCUUCAAUCCAUCCUCACUCAACACAUUUUUCACACAUUGCUGGCCCACACAAUCUUAAAAGAUGCUUGCAGGUAACCCCAGCAAGGCUUUAACUUCACAAGUGAAGUAGAUGGUUACUAUGAGAUCUGGGGCUAAGAUAACAGACAAAUGUGAAAAUUAAGGUGUAAGUUUCCAACUAUAAGGCAUGUGGAAUAUGAACUGUAGAUAACUAAAUACUUGGGUUUUUCAGACAUUUUAUUGGUUCAUGAAGACAAUGGGAGAGAAUACUUGAAACUGGAACACCUCAGACCUGUGAUAACCAGUGAAAGCAACGUGACAGUGAUUAAGAGCAUUUCCUCCAGGGCCAGGCUGCCACAACUGGAUAGGCCUAAAUCCUGUACAUAAUGCCUGAUGAUUUCGUUGGGCCUCAGUGUCUGUGCUGAACGGCAGGGAUUGCAUCUAGAUCUGGAAGUGGGAAGCUAAAGGAGCUGAAUGUUACUGAACCUAGUGUAUACUCACAAAAUAAAUCUGCAGUUCCUGAUAAGAGCUUGUUAUCUUGUCAUCUGGCCUCAUUCACCAUCUAACACCCAAUUCAAAUGAUUACUUCCUAGGAAAGACUUUCUUGUUCUCUUUUCUUUCAACCUCCUUGCUACACUCAGUCAUACGACUUGCCCUGCCAUACAUGAUGUAUUUGUUUGCAGAUUUCCCCAGUAAACUGAUAGUUUCUCAAGACUAGGGAUUAUGGCUGUACUUAAAAUAUUUAGCAUAAUACAUGGUAUGUGGUAAGCUGGAGUAAAUGUUUAUUGAAAUUA